UACGUAGGGGGCAAGCGUUGUCCGGAAUCAUUGGGCGUAAAGCGCGUGUAGGCGGUCCGGUAAGUCCGCUGUGAAAGUCCAGGGCUCAACCCUGGAAUGCCGGUGGAUACUGUCGGGCUAGAGUCCGGAAGAGGCGAGUGGAAUUCCUGGUGUAGCGGUGAAAUGCGCAGAUAUCAGGAGGAACACCGAUGGCGAAGGCAGCUCGCUGGGACGGUACUGACGCUGAGACGCGAAAGCGUGGGGAGCAAACAGG
rnacentral:rRNA from 1 species